CUGGGUCUUGUCCAGCCUCUCACCCACCUGCACCCCCAAGUCCUUCUCAGCAGGGCUGCUCUGAUCUGUUCAUCCCCCCGCCUGUGUUGAUACCUGGGUUGCUCCACGCAGGUGCAGCACCUUGCACUUGAUUUUGUUAAACCUCAUGAGAUUCUCAUGGGCCCACCUCUAGAGCUUGUCCAGGACCUGGAUGGCAUCCCAUCCUUCAGGAGUGUUUUGAAGGUUACAUUAACAGUAAACCAGUUUAAUAUUAAAGCUUUUGUUCAAUUUGGGUUUUACAGUAUUAGCCAGCAGCAGUGAGCAAGUAAUGCUGCCUUGUUAAGGUUUAAGUUCAUAUUCCUUGACACUUAAAUUAUGGUAUUACUUUCACGAAGUAUUUCGUAACUUAACAGUUUCAAGCUACUUGAGUGUUUGCAAAUCAUCAUGGCUCUAGGAAUGUUUUCACUCGACUCAAUAUUUGAUAAAUCAAGCAGUUUAAGGGUAUUAGAGCAGUGAUGUAUUGCUGUGUUAUUGAUGUUUGGUGACUGAAACAUAACUGAAAUCUUAAAUUGCAUUCAAUGAUUAUUCAUUAAUAAAGAAUCUAAAUGUUAGCCUAUUUCUGUAAAUGUAUAAAGAGCUAUUUGCUAUACAAAAUUAUUCUUAUACAAGAGAAACACAUUUGUAAAAGAUAUUAUUUCCUCUGUUUAAAUGUUUGUGCAAUGAAGCCUGAGUGUUGGAUUUUUUUUCCUUGUACUAAUUAUUUAUUUUGAAAUCUUUGUGGCCAGGUUUGUGCUGGUUGUACAAGCAAUAAAAUUAAGUUGGGGUUUGUGCAUGCUGAUAGGAUACACAAGGCUGGAAGUCCUAGUAAGAAAUGUACCUCAUUUGCUGAUGUGUUUUUAAGCCCAUCUCUCUUACUCACAGUCAUCUUAUAAGAAAAUUCUUUUAGUUAAACCUACUUUUUUUUUUUUUUUUUUUAAUCUUUUCUGAGGCUGAAUGAUCUGGAGUGAAUGUUGAAUCAGAAAAAAGUGUAGGAUAUGCUAGUGGCUAAGAGGGCAGAAGAGGUUAAGCUGCUCAGCUUUGAGCACUUAAAGCAGGUUGCCUGUAGCCCUGUCAAGUCUUAUAUGCUUAUUGCUCUUGUGGUUUAACCCCAGCUGGCAGCAAGGGACCACAGAGCUGCUCGCUCCCCCUGGUCAGAUGGCGGAGAGAAUCAGAAGGGUAAAAGUGAGAAAACUUGGGGGUUGAAAUGAAGACAGUUUAAUAGCUAAAGCAAAAGCCCUGAGUGCAAACAAAGCAAAAUAGGGAAUUCCUUCACCCCUUGCCAUGGGCAGGUGAGUGUCAGGAGAGCAAGGCUCCAUAACACGUAACAACGGCUUGGGAUGACAAAUGCCAUCACUCCGAAUAUACCCCCUCUCUUCCUUCAUCCCCCUUAGCUUUAUAUGCUCAGGAAUAUCCCUUUGGUCACUUGGUGUCAGCUAUCCUGGUUCUGUCCUCUCUCAGCUCCUUGUGGCACCUCUCACUGGUGUGGUGGGAUGAGAGGGUAGAAAAAACCUGGCCUCUGUGUAAGCUCUGCUCAGCAAUAACGAAAAAUCCCUGUGUUACCAACUCUAUUUUCAGCACAAAUCCAAAACACAGCACCAUACUAGCCACCAUGAAGAAAAUGAACUCUUUGCCAGCCAAAAUUAGCACAAUACUUAAGGCUCUGAGUUUUAGGUUUAUUUGAGAUGAAAGGGCAUGGCCAAGGAACUGACUCUUAUGCAUGGUUUUCUCAUCAUGUGCAACCUCCUGUAAGUCCAUUUAUAUACAUCUGUUGUAUUUAUAUGCAUAUUUAUUAACUGCUAUUGUAUGUGGCAAAAGACAUGCACUAUGGAAGCUUCAUAUUGCAAAUCAUGAUAAAUGCUGGUAAUGUGAACAUUAUUUGCCAGCUAUUUUAAACUUGUUUUAAGGGUUCAGAAGUAUAAAUAGAUAAGUUGUUUACUGAAAAGGGAAAACAAAAUUGGCACCUUUGAUAUGCAUGAAGAACAAAAUAAAGUUUCUGCUUUCCUAGAAAGAACAGUUCAAGAAGAGUUAUCCAAGCUGAAACCUGCAUCGUCUUUACUCAUCCUCCUAAAACAAAUACACAUACGUCAUUAAGUACAAUUAAAGAUAAGUGUUUUAAGAGCUGUCUGGGGAGCUUUCUCAGUUAUUAAGUAGGAAAGUGCAAAAUUGCUGAGAGUGAUGGUGAAUCAGACUUCUUUUUUUUCAAAUAGAACUAAUUCAUGUGCUAGUUGUAGCUCAGAUGAUACCCCUAAAUGCGCUGGUACAGGCCAUAUAUAAAUACAGUAUUUUUUGUUUCAUAUAUAGAAAAUAGGGUCUUUACAACAGUAGUACUUAUCAUCUAUAAAGCAGUUUUAGCUUCCAUAGAACAGUACAAUCUCCCAUUUCACAGAUAAAUAACAAAGCUGAUCUUCACUGUUUUAGUGAAGAUCAAUCACAUCCCUGGCAGAAACAGAAGACAAGGAGAAUGCUGUUGUAUGUGAUCUUCAUGUCUUCCUAGUCCAUGAUCUCAAGGGAUGAAGAUCAGCUUUCCCCAUCGGGUGAAAGAAUUCAGGGAUAAUGUCAUAAUCAACAGAGCCACUAGAUAGCGUAUGGACACUGCACAUCAGUUCCCUGCAGUAUGGAAUAGUGAUUCAACAACCUGGAUUUCCCUAAACCAUCACCAGUACUCCAGCUACAGUCACGGCUUGCUCCUCUAUCUUCCAACACCACAUUGACAGUAUGAUGCCUACAUUUUUAUUUGUUUAUAGCUGUCAUAAAAAUUGACUACAGAUGAGACUGGUUACUGGUAAUUAAUUUUCAUUCUUUAGGAAAUCCAAAUUGACUUGAAGUGAUAGUAAAGGAACUCUCAUUGUAACUUUGUCAGUAAAAGUAAUUCUGUAAAAGGAAAUAUAAUUUCUAAUAUAAGCAUCAGGCUUGGUCUGACUUCGCGACCAUCUCAGACCUGUGAGAGGGGCCAUGAUAUAUCUACAGUGGUCUCAACCAACAUUAAAGAAUAUUGGAGGGUUUUAGUUGGACCCGAAGACUUACUGCUUUUGCAGUAAGAUAUAAGAGCUUCUGACACUGUUCUUACAAGGCAUAGGUCCAGUAUGGUCUGAUCAGCCCUUUUUGCCUAAGGUGAAGUUUAUUGCUUUUUUCUUCCUCUCCCCCAUUACAGUCUCACUGUCUGUCCUUUGCACCUUAUGCAUUAUAGCUGCAUAAUGGUCUUAAGCUUUUAUUAAACAAAGUAGGGCAAGGAUCCUCUCA